ACUGGGGAGUACGGUCGCAAGGCUAAAACUCAAGGAAUUAACGAGGGCUCACACAAGCGGUGGAGCAUGUGGAUUAAUUCGAAGCAACGCGAGAACCUUACCUGGGUUUAACAUGCUUGGAUGCCCGCCAUAAAAGUGGUUGGGCUGCCCCAAGGAUGAAACUUGCACAGGUGCUGCAUGGCUGUCGUCAGCUCGUGUCGUGAGAUGUCGGUUAAGUCCUUUAACGAGCGAAACCCUUGCCGUUAGUUACCAGCGGGUUAUGCCGGGACUCUAGCGGGACUGCCGGUGUUAAACCGGAGGAAGGUGGGGAUGACGUCAAGUCAUCAUGCCUUUAUGCCCAGGGCCUCACACGUGCUACAAUGGCGACUACAGAGCGACGCAAGACCCGAGGUGGAGCAAAUCGCAAAAAAGUCGCCUCAAUUCGGAUUGUAGGCUGGCAAUUCGCUGCAUGAAGUCGGAAUCGCUAGUAAUCGCAUAUCAGCUACGAUGCGGUGAAUGUGUUCCGAGCCUUGUACACACCGCCCGUCAAGUCAUGGGAGUUGGGAGUACCCGAAACCGGGUUAUAACCUGGGAAACCAGGAAGUGCCUGCUACGGUAAGCCCAAUGACUGGGACU
rnacentral:rRNA from 1 species